ACAGUGGCUGCUGCAAUUUUGACAAGCGAACAGCGUUAAGCGAGUUUAAGUGGUUGCCGAGGAGAGCCACAAAGGCUUUUUCGUUUUUGCCUUUAUCCCCCAGUCGAAAUUCCAGGGAUCACAAAUGAGAGAGGGCCCCAGCCCCCCUGCCCCCAUUUCGUUCCCUGCACAGUAGUCACUUCUCCGCCGUCAAGUUGAACUUAAGCGCGUGUGUGCCCCUGAAUGUGUCCCUCGCCGCAGUCAUUUUUUUUUUCGAGUGAUUUAGUGAGUGCGUUCGACGGCCAUCUUGAAAAUGUUGUGCGUGUAAUUAGGCCUAGAACUAAACGUAACCCCAAAAAUGUGAACCCCAAAAUAGAGGAAAAAACGGCCAAACAGCUGUCUCUCAGAAUCGGAGUUGGAGUUGAACUUGAAGUCAAGGAAUGCGCAUAAAAGUUUUUAGUAUGCUGUGGGCCACGACCCAAGCCGACUUCAAGCCCAAUUUUAGGUUGAAGAUCGGUAGAUGGAAAGUACUGGUACCUCUCAGGCCCAAGCACAGGCCCAGCCACAGGCCCAGGCACAACUCAAUUGAAGCGUUAAAUAUUUUUGUUUAUUCAAAGAAAUCAUUCUUCAAGACAAUGGAAUCAUAAAUAAAACCUUUUCAUCCA